rnacentral:tRNA from 1 species
GGAGAGAUGCCGGAGCGGCUGAACGGACCGGUCUCGAAAACCGUUGCAGGGGUAACUCCGCCGAGGGUUCGAAUCCCUCUCUCUCCGCCA